rnacentral:rRNA from 1 species
CGGACGGGUGAGUAAUGUCUGGGAAACUGCCCGAUGGGGGGGGAUAACUACUGGAAACGGUAGCUAAUACCGCAUAACGUCGCAAGACCAAAGAGGGGGACCUUAGGGCCUCUUGCCAUCGGAUGUGCCCAGAUGGGAUUAGCUAGUAGGUGGGGUAAUGGCUCACCUAGGCGACGAUCCCUAGCUGGUCUGAGAGGAUGACCAGCCACACUGGAACUGAGACACGGUCCAG